CAGCUAACAUCAGAAUAGUGGAUGAAGCCCACACUAAAAUAAUGUGGGUUGGAAAGUCCAGAAGUCCCUGUCAGUUGGAAGAGUUAAUUAAGCAAUUAAACAGAAUCAGGUGAAAGUGAUUAUGAUGCAUGGACUGAGGCUCCUUUACUCUGC